rfam:Apaloderma vittatum contig61052, whole genome shotgun sequence.
UAGCUCAGUCGGUUAGACCUUGGUGCUGAUAACACCAAGGUCACGGGUUCAAUCCCCGU